rnacentral:rRNA from 1 species
AGUGAACGCUGGCGGCAGGCCUAACACAUGCAAGUCGAACGGCAGCACAGAGGAGCUUGCUCCUUGGGUGGCGAGUGGCGGACGGGUGAGGAAUGCGUCGGAAUCUGCCUAUUUGUGGGGGAUAACGUAGGGAAACUUACGCUAAUACCGCAUACGACCUACGGGUGAAAGUGGGGGACCGCAAGGCCUCACGCAGACAGAUGAGCCGACGCCGGAUUAGCUAGUUGGCGGGGUAAAGGCCCACCAAGGCGACGAUCCGUAGCUGGUCUGAGAGGAUGAUCAGCCACACUGGGACUGAGACACGGCCCAGACUCCUACGGGAGGCAGCAGUGGGGAAUAUUGGACAAUGGGCGCAAGCCUGAUCCAGCCAUGCCGCGUGUGUGAAGAAGGCCUUCGGGUUGUAAAGCACUUUUGUCCGGAAAGAAAUCCAAUCGAUUAAUACUCGGUUGGGAUGACGGUACCGGAAGAAUAAGCACCGGCUAACUUCGUGCCAGCAGCCGCCGUAAAAC